GACGAACGCUGGCGGCGUGCUUAACACAUGCAAGUCGAACGGAAAGGCCUCUUUCGGGGGGUACUCGAGUGGCGAACGGGUGAGUAACACGUGAGUAACCUGCCCUUGACUUUGGGAUAACUUCAGGAAGCUGGGGCUAAUACCGGAUAGGAGCUCCUGCUGCAUGGUGGGGGUUGGAAAGUUUCGGCGGUUGGGGAUGGACUCGCGGCUUAUCAGCUUGUUGGUGGGGUAGUGGCUUACCAAGGCUUUGACGGGUAGCCGGCCUGAGAGGGUGACCGGCCACAGUGGGACUGAGAUACGGCCCAGACUCCUACGGGAGGCAGCAGUGGGGAAUAUUGCACAAUGGGUGGAAGCCUGAUGCAGCAACGCCGUGUGCGGGAUGACGGCCUUCGGGUUGUAAACCGCUUUCGCUCAUGACGAAGCUUUGUGUGACGGUAGUGGGUAAAGAAGCACCGGCUAACUACGUG
rnacentral:rRNA from 1 species